rnacentral:rRNA from 1 species
UUUAUGGAGAGUUUGAUCCUGGCUCAGGAUGAACGCUGGCGGCGUGCCUAAUACAUGCAAGUCGAGCGAACGGACGAGAAGCUUGCUUCUCUGAUGUUAGCGGCGGACGGGUGAGUAACACGUGGAUAACCUACCUAUAAGACUGGGAUAACUUCGGGAAACCGGAGCUAAUACCGGAUAAUAUUUUGAACCGCAUGGUUCAAAAGUGAAAGACGGUCUUGCUGUCACUUAUAGAUGGAUCCGCGCUGCAUUAGCUAGUUGGUAAGGUAACGGCUUACCAAGGCAACGAUGCAUAGCCGACCUGAGAGGGUGAUCGGCCACACUGGAACUGAGACACGGUCCAGACUCCUACGGGAGGCAGCAGUAGGGAAUCUUCCGCAAUGGGCGAAAGCCUGACGGAGCAACGCCGCGUGAGUGAUGAAGGUCUUCGGAUCGUAAAACUCUGUUAUUAGGGAAGAACAUAUGUGUAAGUAACUGUGCACAUCUUGACGGUACCUAAUCAGAAAGCCACGGCUAACUACGUGCCAGCAGCCGCGGUAAUACGUAGGUGGCAAGCGUUAUCCGGAAUUAUUGGGCGUAAAGCGCGCGUAGGCGGUUUUUUAAGUCUGAUGUGAAAGCCCACGGCUCAACCGUGGAGGGUCAUUGGAAACUGGAAAACUUGAGUGCAGAAGAGGAAAGUGGAAUUCCAUGUGUAGCGGUGAAAUGCGCAGAGAUAUGGAGGAACACCAGUGGCGAAGGCGACUUUCUGGUCUGUAACUGACGCUGAUGUGCGAAAGCGUGGGGAUCAAACAGGAUUAGAUACCCUGGUAGUCCACGCCGUAAACGAUGAGUGCUAAGUGUUAGGGGGUUUCCGCCCCUUAGUGCUGCAGCUAACGCAUUAAGCACUCCGCCUGGGGAGUACGACCGCAAGGUUGAAACUCAAAGGAAUUGACGGGGACCCGCACAAGCGGUGGAGCAUGUGGUUUAAUUCGAAGCAACGCGAAGAACCUUACCAAAUCUUGACAUCCUUUGACAACUCUAGAGAUAGAGCCUUCCCCUUCGGGGGACAAAGUGACAGGUGGUGCAUGGUUGUCGUCAGCUCGUGUCGUGAGAUGUUGGGUUAAGUCCCGCAACGAGCGCAACCCUUAAGCUUAGUUGCCAUCAUUAAGUUGGGCACUCUAAGUUGACUGCCGGUGACAAACCGGAGGAAGGUGGGGAUGACGUCAAAUCAUCAUGCCCCUUAUGAUUUGGGCUACACACGUGCUACAAUGGACAAUACAAAGGGCAGCGAAACCGCGAGGUCAAGCAAAUCCCAUAAAGUUGUUCUCAGUUCGGAUUGUAGUCUGCAACUCGACUACAUGAAGCUGGAAUCGCUAGUAAUCGUAGAUCAGCAUGCUACGGUGAAUACGUUCCCGGGUCUUGUACACACCGCCCGUCACACCACGAGAGUUUGUAACACCCGAAGCCGGUGGAGUAACCUUUUAGGAGCUAGCCGUCAAAGGUGGGACAAAUGAUUGGGGUGAAGUCGUAACAAGGUAGCCGUAUCGGAAGGUGCGGCUGGAUCACCUCCUUUCU